GCGGAUGUGGCGGAAUUGGUAGACGCGUCAGACUUAGGAUCUGGUGCCGCAAGGCGUGGGGGUUCGAGUCCCUUCAUCCGCACCA
rnacentral:tRNA from 1 species